GCCCAUCUAGCUCAGUUGGUAGAGCGCAAGGCUCUUAACCUUGCGUAGACUUUGGCAUUUUGGUGGGAG
rnacentral:tRNA from 1 species